rnacentral:lncRNA from 9 species
CAAAUAUUUUGAAAGAUUGAUAUCCUUGCCUUCUAUACUGUGAGUUUUCUGAAGGCAAUCAUUCUGUCUUAUUCAACACUGCAACUGCAGUGGUUGGCAUGGAAGAGACACUCGGUAAAUGAGGAAGUGACCAGAAUUUCAAAUCCUCUAAUCUUGCCCUUUGCCCUCACCCCAGCCUGCCCUGCCUCCUCUGAAAUGCAUUCCUCCCCAUAAUUGCUCCAUCCUCCAUAUUCUCUUUAUUCAUAACGCCUUUAUUUGUGGUCCAAGUUACACAAUUUAGCACAUGCUUAUAUUAUUUGCUCUCACUUUGCCUGUGCUUUAUGUGUUUUUAUCCCUCUUCUGAUAAUGAAAAUAAGUGUAAGCCCAUACACGGGAUAAAUUUUUUUCUGUAUUACUAUAGCUUUGACUCACCUUUUUCAUAUUUCAAAAAUUACAUAUUCAUCAGUGAUGAACACCCAUAUUUAAUAAGCUCUUACAAUGUGCUACUUGUGUUUUUCAUACAGGUCAUAUCGAUCUGCACGAUGAACGUAAGUAGGCACUCCCUAAGCACUGAGUCGUAGUAAGGCAGUGUCUUAUUCAGAGGGUGAAUGACAGAAGCAGGACUUAAAUAGAGAGCACGUGAUGUCAACCAUUUCUCCCUCUUUAUCGUUGAUAAUUUAGAAGAGGAACAAUAAAAAUAAUACUAAGAACAGCCAUAAUUCCCAUAUGCUACUAGAGGUAACUACUGCUAACAUUUUGGUCCAUGGUUUUUCAGUCCCUUUAUGUCAUAGGCAGCCUCUAGCAUGCUUCCCAAUGACCCCUGUCUCAGGCUAUUCACACCCUUGUGUAAUUUCCUUCCCUUGAGUGAGGUUUGGGUUUAGUAAUUCACUUCUAAUGAAUAGAAUAAAGCAGAAGCAAUUGAACCCAGGUUCUGAGAUUAGGUUAUAAAAAGAUUGCGGCUUUCAUCUUGGGUCUCUCUCUCUCUGUGUCUUUCUCUCUCUGAGAUCCUUCACUGGAGGAGAAGCAAACUGCUAUAUCUUGAGCAUAUCAGUGAUUAAGUAACUGGUGACUUGGAUCAAUAGUCAGCAAAGACCUGAGACUGGCCAAUAGCCAGAUAGAAGAAAUCAGCAAUCACUUCAAAAUUCGACCAGGAAGAAAUAACCAACAUUAACUCUGGAGGACAUAAUUCCAGAUAUCUCUGGGCAUAGAUGGAUAUGUUGGAAGGUUGGAAAGCUAUUUAGGUAGCUAACUAAUUACAGAUCAUCUUGGACAUGCUUUUUAAGAUAACACAUUACAUAAUUUCACUUGAAUGUAACCAAAGGAAAAAACUGAAGUGAAACUGAAGGAAUUGCUGACUUUUUGAUCAUGUUUUCACUCCACUGCCAGUGGCAGUAUUUCUUCAAGCAUCUCUCUAAGUCAGGUUAAGUAAAAACUUGAUGAAAUCUAAUAAGUUAUUUUACUUUUUUUUCUUUUAAUUUACAUCUUUUCAUUUUCCAGGCAAUACUAAUUAAAAAUAACUGCCUACUAUAAAAGAUGAAGGAUUUUUUUUUAAAGAAAUCUCCAUGCUAUUUUCUACAGAGGCUGCACCAAGUUACAUUCCAACCAACAGGGUACAAGGGUUCCCUUUUCUCCACAUCCUCACCAACAUUUGUUAUUUGUGUUCUUUUUGAUGAUGGCCAUUCUGGCAGGUGUAAGGUGAUAUCUUAUUGUGAUUUUGAUUUUCAUUGCCCUGAUAGUUAGUGAUGCUGAACAUCUUUUCUUGUGCUUGUUGGCCAUCUGCAUGUCCUCUUUGGAAAAAUGUCUAUUCAGCUCUUCUGCCCAUAUUUUAAAGUGGAUUGUUUAUUUUUUUGUAUUGAGUUGUAUGAGCUGUUUAUGUAUUUUGGAUAUUAACCCCUUAUUGGUCAUAUAAUUUGCAAAUACUUUCUCCCAUUAAAAAUAGAACUACCAUAUGAUCCAGAAAUUCCACUCCUGAAUGUAUAUACAAAAAAUCCCCAAAAUGCAAAUCCAAAAAUAUACAUGCACUCAGAUUUUUAUAGCAGCACUAUUUACAACUGCCAAGAUAUAGAAACAACCUAAAUGUCCAUAACAGAUGAAGGGAUAAAGAAAAUGUGGUAUGUAUAUAGACAAUAGAAUAUGAUUCAGCCAUAAAAAAGAAUGAAAUUUUGCUUUGGCCACAACAGAGGUGGACUUGGAGGGCAUUAUGCUAAGUGAAAAAAGUCGGAGAAAUACAACUACUGUAUGAUAUCAUUUUUGUGUGGAAUCUAAUACAACAAACUAGUAAAUAUAACAAAAAAGAAGCAGACACAGAGGUAGAGAGCAAACGAGGGGUUACCACCGAAGGGGAGAGAGAAGGGGGAGGGGCAAGAUAGGGGAAGGGAAUUAAAAAGUACAAACUCUUAGGUGUAAAAUAAGCUACAAGGAUAUAUUGUACAACAUAAGGAAUAUAGCUGAUAUUUUAUAAUAACUAUAAAUGGAGGGAGUUCCCUUUGUGGCACAGCAGAAAUGAAUCCAACUAGUAUCCAUGAAGAUGCAGGUUUGAUCCCUGGCCUCUCUCAGUGGGGUGGGGAUCUUGUGUUGCCGUGAGCUGUGGUCUAGGUCGCAGACAUGGCUUGGACACGGCUUGGAUCUGAGUUGCUGUGAUUGUGGCGUAGGCUGGCAGCUGUAGCUCCGAUUUAACCCCUACUCUGGGAACUUCCAUAUGUCGCAAAUGGGGCCCUAAAAACAAAAACAAAGACAAAAACCUAUAAAUGGAGCAUGACCUUUAAAAUUAUGAAUCACUGUAUUGUACACCUGUAACAAAUAAUAUUGUAUGUCAAAUAUAUUUCAAUAAAAAUUUAAAAUUUAAAAAUUUUAAAA